rnacentral:rRNA from 1 species
UAGGGAAUCUUCCGCAAUGGACGCAAGUCUGACGGAGCAACGCCGCGUGAGUGAAGAAGGAUUUCGGUUCGUAAAACUCUGUUGUUAGAGAAGAACAGCGCAUAGAGUAACUGUUAUGCGUGUGACGGUAUCUAACCAGAAAGCCACGGCUAACUACGUGCCAGCAGCCGCGGUAAUACGUAGGUGGCAAGCGUUGUCCGGAUUUAUUGGGCGUAAAGCGAGCGCAGGCGGUCAAUUAAGUCUGCUGUGAAAGCCCCCGGCUCAACCGGGGAGGGUCAUUGGAAACUGGUUGACUUGAGUGCAGAAGAGGGGAGUGGAAUUCCAUGUGUAGCGGUGAAAUGCGUAGAUAUAUGGAGGAACACCAGUGGCGAAGGCGACUCGCUGGUCUGUAACUGACGCUGAGGCUCGAAAGCGUGGGUAGCAAACAGG